CAGGGAGGGGCGUAGACAGGCUGGCAGGGCGGGCGGCCUCCUCGGCCUCGGAUCCCGGUCCCCAGCCCAGUCCUGCUCAUCUCACCUGCUCCACCUGUCGCCGUUAUUUAUCUCGGCGUGGGCGCGGGGAUUGUGGCAGAGCGGCCCGUGGGAGCGCGGACAGCCGCGGCAGCUACAACAACCGGGCAAUUACAAACCCUCCUCCCGCUCACCCGGCGGAACUGUUGGGUCAGAGGCUGAAUACGAGGGUCCAAAAAGAAAGCUCAGUGCUGUUCACCCAGAGAAGGCCAACGCAAGCUUGCUCUUCUUGGUGAGUCAGCCUGGAAGAGGAGAGAGGGAGAGAGGAAGUCUUUGCCGUGAUGCUGCUGUCGGGGGGCCUUGCGAGGGAGAUUGUCUCUGAAAAUCAUACAGUGGCAGAUGUGAAAACUGAGGCAAAGAGACAUUCACCGACCGGCUGGGCAGUGAGCAACCAGAGACCAACUCUAGGGUGAUUUGGGUGGGGGGUGGAGAAAAAGGACAAAGAUACAGAGGAAUCCCUCCCCUCUCCAGCUGCCACAUCAUGAUUGCACCCUGCCUCGACCACGGGACCCUCCCUCGGGCUCCAAAUUCUCAUUUCCACCAUGACAGUGUGUGCAGACACUACCUCUCAGAUCACCUCCAGCACCAGCCUCCAACACCUGUGACCUGCGUGCGAGGCCUGAGAUCUGAAUGCCACCAUUUCCCAAGUGAGGGUCACCUGAGCUCAAGAGCGCAGGUUCCCUUUGUCCACACCAGUGUUGGGACAGGGGAAGUGUCCUUUAACUGUUUGAACUGAUGGUUCUGUGGAUCCGAAGCAAUUUGAACACUGACUUCAAAAAAAAUAUGGUCUUCCCACUCUGAGCUGACGGGGGGCACCCGGUCCACCAGGCUCUGCUUUGCCCCUGGGUGGGUCUGGGAAGGGGGCAGAUGCUACUCUUGACUGUCAUUCAUUUAAUCAAUGUUGAUUGAAUCGGCCAUUAUCCUAGGCCGUGCUGAGCACCCCCUGUGCUGGAUACAUCCAGCAAGUAAAGACAGGGCUGUUCUCAGGGCGUCCUAGUCUGAGGCAGGGGACACUACCCAGCCCGAGGGCAGAGACAGCCAGAAGAGGGUACUGGAUCCAGGUGUAGAACUGGAGCCAGUCUAGAAACACACCAUCCUGGUAAGGAAGUGUCCCCUUCAGAGUAGGGGACAAGAGGAUAGAGCACCAGGAAGGCCAGGCUGGCUGCUGGGAUUCUCUGUAAGGCUGUUCCCACAGGUUCAGCCUGAUCCUGCGGCCCUCCAGGCUCAGCCAGCCCGGGAGAGGCCUGGUGUUUUAUUUGGGUUUUUCUCCUAAUGCAAAUGCCUCUCUGGGCCCCUGGGAAGGAGGCCUGUUUGAAGGCAAGACUGAGAAGCUGGCAGCAGGCAGCACCCACAGGGAAGAUGAGCUGCUCUCUAGGGACCAGGCCCCACCCCAGAGAGAAGCCAGGUCCUGGCCUCCCUCCUUGGCCUCUCCUGGAGGCACUUCUGGCCACUGGGGAGGCAGAGCCGCCUGAGAUGGGGUGCUGUCUGCAAACCCCCACCUGUACUCCAGCCUCUGUCCUGGGAGCUCAAGGGCAGGGUGGGUGUCGCUCACUCUGGAAACACAGUGGCAGUGCCCGGCUGGGCACACAGUUGUCAUUUGAUUUAUGCUCAUUAAAAUGAACUGAGUAGGUGACACCGAGUGACUCAAGCAAAAGUAGGCUUCCGGCAAGACCCGACUGAUGGGCGUGGGGAGGACCGAAUCACGCAGGCAAUAUGGAGAGGGGGACGAAUACCAGCCGUGGCUACAGGGGAAGAAAUGUUUGCCGAGGGGCAGCCACCGAAGGGGACCCUCGGGGAGCGGAAGGGACAGGCGAGGGCAGGGCCCUAGGAAACCCGGGGUGAACAAGUGCAGGGGACGGAGACCCCACUGCCCGGGCUUGCGGGGGGCCUUGGCGACUGGAGGGCGGAGAGUGUGCGGCUGCGGGUGGCGGGGUGACUGGGACUUGUCCUGCCUCCGCCCUGCCCAGCCGCCCCAGGGGUGGCGUCGGGUUUUGCUGAGCUGGCCUUUCUCGCCGCGUCCCCUGCGGCUCUCGGAGAAGCAGGAUCAAAUGUUCCCCAGCUCAAGGGCUGGCGGGGCUGGGAGGGAAAGGGGGCCCGGGAGGGGCGGUGACAGGGGGAGCGGUCAGGUUGCCCCAGGGACAGGGCCUGCAGCCGCCCUGGCUCUUUCUGUGAACCUCCCCGGGCAGCUCGCCCUCCUUCAGGACCCCUUUUUGAUCCCAGUAAAGGGGACAGAAAUAAGGAGUGGGCUGGGGGCGUGCGACUCCCCCCCCCCUCUCUCUCUCUCACACACACACACACACACACACACACACACACACACACACACACGAGGCUGCUGCGCGGCAUAAACUGCAGGGGGCGCCAUCACAUAGACUGCGACAGGAAUCCCGCCCCCGGCGCCACGUGGUGGCCAGGCUGCCGCCCCCCGUGCGACCUGACCUCAGGACGAGCUGGCGUCACCGCCUCCGCCCCCGGCUCCUAUCUGUGCUCCUCGUCUCCCGGUCACUCCCCGCAGGGUCCCCCCCUCCGCAGGAGGCUCCCGCCACCGCUGGGAGAGCGGCCCCAGAGCCGCGGUCCCCGCCCGCCCCCGCGCGCGCUCUCGGGACGCGCCGUGCGCCCUGGGGACUCGCUGCCCUUUUGAUUAACUCGUCUCAUUAUCGGGUGCUCGGUUCUCCUGGGACCCUCCACGCCUACCAGCCCCAGGGGAAGCGGGGGCCUCAGGAUUCGUGCCUGACUAGAGAAGCUGAAGGACCUCCGGGAACCUGCCCACUCCACCCCCUGAGGAUGGCCCAGCCAUGUGUCACUUGCUCUUUUCAUCCCCUAACCUAGGGCUUAUCUGAAGGAGUGUGUGUGUGUGUGUGUGUGUGUGUGUGACAUUUUCGUAACCAUAAAAUGCGCAGCCUAAAGACCAUUUGCCUUGACAACCACCUUUAUCAUCCUCGUGUUGAAGAGGAGAGGGUUGAGGAACAGAGAGGGUUAGUCACUCCCCCAGGGCCACACAGCUAGUAAGUGACAAAGCUGGCAUUCAAACCUGAAAACCUGGCUUCGGUCUAUAAAGUCUAUGCUUUUCACCACUUAAUGCUCCCUCUCACAUGGAGAGACAUUUGAUUUGUCCAAAAUCUGAUGUCCUAGACUGCCCUGGCUGACAUAACUUCUAGCAGCUAUUUAAGUUUAAAUAAAUUGACUUUAAAAUUCAGUUCUCAGUCCCACUGGCCACUUUUCAAGUGCUCAACAGUCCCAUGUGGCUAGUGGCUACUGUGUUGGACAGCACAGGUAUGGAACAUGUCUGUCAUCCUAGGAGUUCUCCAUUGGACAGCAAUGAUCUGGAGUCUCAGUAUUAAUCCUAGGUCUUCUGCCUACCAGCUGAGCAACCUGAGAAAGACACUCAACUUCUCAGUAUCAGUUUCCUCAUCCAAAGAAGAGUGCCCACCUCGUGGUUGUUAGAUUAAUUGAGAAGAUGCACACGAAGUGCUUGGCAGGUACUAAGCAUUCUAACAAUUACUAGUUUUAUCAUUAGAAUCCAUAAUCUAGUCCUUCAUUUAACAAAGUGGACGGCUAAGGAUCAGAGGAACCAAGAAACUGCCUCAAAGCCACACAGCAGAUUGAAUCCUAAAAGCUGGGACUCCUGAUUCACGUUGCUGCACCACAUGGCCUCACCAUACCAUCACAGUUGUGAAAGAACUUUCCCAGGUGGCCCUCGACAUGCUACGAGGUGGUGAACUAAGGUUUCACAGCCCCAUUUUACAGAUGAAGAAACAGAGGCAGAGAGAGGGUGAAGGAAGUUCUUCAGGAUCCUGAGGCUGUUUGGUACCAUUCUUCACCGCUGUGCACAUUAACGUGUGACCGGGUAGGGAAAGUGUCUGCGCCGCGGCUCCGUCGUUUACCAUGCAGAGGUCAGGAACCCGUGGUCCUCUAUCGACAGAACAUAAAUUAUAUAAAUAAUGUCAAUAUGGCCUCGACUGUGGAAAAAGCUGGGUAUAGAAUCAAGAUGUGAAAGCUGGAUAACACUAAUACCAUUUUAAUGAUCAUCGUGGGUGAUGGAAUGAGGGGUGAUUUGCAUUCUGUAUCUAUUCCCGUUUCUCCCCAGUUUUCUGUAAGCGGCCUGUUUCAUUUUCACAAUCAGAAAUAAAUGAAUGUGAUUUUCACUUUUCUUUUUUUGAAA